rnacentral:rRNA from 1 species
UACAGAGGCCUCGAGCGUUAGGCGGAAUCACUGGGCUUAAAGCGUGUGUAGGCGGAGUUCUAAGUACCUUGUGAAAUCCCACGGCUCAACCGUGGAACUGCUUGGUAUACUGGUUCUCUUGAGGUACCUAGGGGCGAGCGGAACAAGUGGUGGAGCGGUGAAAUGCGUAGAUAUCACUUGGAACGCCAACGGUGAAAACAGCUCGCUGGGGGUAUCCUGACGCUGAGACGACGAAAGCCAGGGGAGCAAAGCGGG